rnacentral:sRNA from 1 species
CUUCUGGAAGCCUGCACUCCAGCUUGAGUGUGAGAGACCCGUCCCGGUGGGAGGGACCUGGGCUGGGGGGGACGGCAGGGGAACAAGGGGGUGGGACUGGGGAAGCUUCUGGGAACAUUUGCUCUAGGGAUUCAGCUAAACUAAGAAAAAUUGGUCCAAGGCUCGGCACAAAAGGAUCUUUUCAUUCCAGUCCUUUCGCCCACGCAGGGAACGAUGCCUCUGGAGGUGGUGGUGGAGCUGCAGAUCCGGGCGCAGCACAUCAAGAUCAUGGGACACCUGAAGUCCCAAAGGAAGCCUGAAAUGCCUAAGAGGGACAAGCGGGAUGGCUGCUGGUUUAGGUUGGCAUCAUCGAAUGUGGAAACCUUCAGACUUCCUGGUGCCAUAAUCAAUGAGAUGGUGUCAUCGUUGACUCCACAGUAAAAAGAGGACCGGAGCAUUAUGGGGUGAGAGCCAGCAAUAGUCCACGAUGCUGUACUGCAUGUAGCCCAGAAAAAAGCCAAAAGCCACGUCGGUGACAUUGUGCCGCCCCAGCAUGACCCUGGAGAGGCCCAAGACGAAGGCCCAC